rnacentral:rRNA from 1 species
AUUGAACGCUGGCGUACGGCCUAACACAUGCAAGUCGAACGAGUGGCGGACGGGUGAGUAAUGUCUGGGAAACUGCCUGAUGGCGGGGGAUAACUACUGGAAACGGUAGCUAAUACCGCAUACCAUCAGAUGUGCCCAGAUGGGCUUAGCUAGUUGGUGGGGUAACGGCUCACCAAGGCGACGAUCCCUAGCGGGUCUGAGAGGAUGACCAGCCACACUGGAACGGAGACACGGGCGAUACUCCUACGGGAGUCAGCAGUGGGGAAUAUUGGACAAUGGGCGAAAGCCUGAUCCAGCCAUGCCGCGUGUGUGAAGAAGGUCUUCGGAUUGUAAAGCACUUUUAGUUGGGAGGCGUGACCAACAGAAGAAGCACCGGCUAACUCCGUGCCAGCAGCCGCGGUAAUUC